rnacentral:rRNA from 1 species
AGAUUCAAUUUUCUGCCACCGAAUACAUUAGCAUGGGAUAAUGGAAUAGGACCCUGUCCUCCUAUUUUCAGUUGGUUUUGGCAGCGCGAGGACUAGGGUAAUGAUUAAUAGGGAUAGUUGGGGGCAUUAAUAUUUAAUUGUCAGAGGUGAAAUUCUUGGAUUUAUGAAAGAUUAACUUCUGCGAAAGCAUCUGCCAAGGAUGUUUUCAUUAAUCAAGAACGAAAGUUAGGGGAUCGAAGACGAUCAGAUACCGUCGUAGUCUUAACCAUAAACGAUGCCGACCAGCGAUUAGGAGACGUUGAAUACAAAACACCACCAUCGGCGCGGUCGUCCUUGGCGUUCGUGUUCACGCACGGGCGCGAGGGCGGCUUAGCCCGAUGGCACCGGUGAAUGACUCCCCUAGCAGCUUGUGAGAAAG